rnacentral:rRNA from 1 species
GACGAACGCUGGCGGUGUGCUUAAUACAUGCAAGUCGAACGAUAAGGUCCCUUCGGGGAUACAUAAGUGGCGAACGGGUGAGUAACACGUAGGUAUCUGCCUUAAGGAAGGGGAUAACACUGGGAAACCGGUGCUAAUACCCUAUAUGUCUUUCGAGAUGAAAGCUCCGGCGCCUUAAGAUGAGCCUGCGGCUGAUUAGCUAGUUGGUGGGGUAAAUACCUACCAAGGCUACGAUCAGUAGCUGGUCUGAGAGGAUGAUCAGCCACAAUGGAACUGAGACACGGUCCAUACUCCUACGGGAGGCAGCAGUAGGGAAUUUUGCGCAAUGGACGAAAGUCUGACGCAGCAACACCGCGUGAGGGAUGACGCUUUUCGGAGUGUAAACCUCUGUCAGUGGGGACGAAAAAAAUGACGGUACCCACAAAGGAAGCACCGGCUAACUACGUG